GAACGUCAGUGAAAGACUAUACACCAUCGUGUAAAAUUUAAUACACGAACCUGCACUAAUCACGACCUUGGUGCUAUCGCGAAUCUCUUUUGGGUAAACCACUCGUUAUAAAUUAAUUAUUGUUGAAUAAUUCAUACAUUUUCGUAUAUAAACCAGCACUUGCUUGCAGUUGGUCAUAAUCCAAGAUGAAGUUUGUUAUAGUUAUGUUGUUGGUCCUGUCUGUGUCAGCUUUGGCUCAGAAACGAGGUUCUUGUCCUCGCCCCCAGCCAGGGGGUGUUGGUGCUUGCGUUUCAUUGUGUAAUAACGACUCUUCGUGUCCAGGAAACCAAAAGUGUUGUUCAAAUGGCUGCGGUCAUUCUUGUACAAACCCAAUAAGGGCGGGUUAGAGUGUCGCUUUUGGUAUGGAAAACUGCUACGCAUGAAGAAGAAAUGGAUACACUUUGAGUACUCAUAACUUACUAAGUUUUAUGUAACCGCACUAUGGAAAGCUUGUACUAAUUUAAAAAUUGAAAACAAUGAGUAAUAAAUAUAAAAAUUUAAGUUUUUUUUUAAUUUUUACCAUUUUAUUAUAUAGGGUCAAGUGAGAAGUAAUUUAAAUUUUCAGUCAGACGUACCCAUUUUCAAGAAAUUCGAGGUAAUAUUAAUUUUAACAUUAAACAACUAUUUAAAUUGUCAUAUUUGCACAAAAAAAAAACACUUCUACAAGGUGUUUACACUCUGAGGUUGGCGCGUUUCUUGAAACUGGGUAACUUUGGCUGCCCGAUGACGUCACUUAAGACUGCAACUGAGUAAUAAAUACAAUUAAAAUUCAUGUUAAUAACAAAUUAUUCUAGAAUUCUAAAGGUCUGUUAUUUUACGUUUUAAAUAACGAUAAGAAAAUAUAGUUUAAGCACGAAGUCGAUAAUUUAGUGGAAUGAAAAUAAUAUUUGUUAGUUGGGUUUGUGUAUUUGGAGGGAUUUCCAUUUUUGAUGAAACUCGUGUUAUUGUUGCUUCUUUUUCACCCACUUUGGGCUGUCGAUAAGCCUGGGUUUUGUCCUGUGGCUGUGGACAACGGUAUUUGUAUCCAGAAAUGUAAUUGUGACCAAGAAUGCCCCCUUUUUUUGAAAUGUUGCGUCAACGUUUGUGGAAAAGAGUGCAGAUAUCCGACAUUUUAAAGCUUUGGCACAAAAACCGGGUUCUUGUCCUACCCUUCAGGGAGAUGGUGCUGCUUGCGUUGACUGGUGUAUUGACGACUCUUCGUGUCCAGGGAUCCAAAAGUGUUGUUCAAAUCGUUGCGGCCAUGUUUGUAGAAACCCAAUAACGGCAUAAUGCAUCGAAACUUAUUCAAUUUUAUGUUAUCGCAUUAUACAAAGUUUGUAGAACACCAAUUUUAAAAAGUAAAAACAAUGAGUAAUAAAUACAACUAAAUCUUAAGUU